GAUGAACGCUGGCGGCGUGCCUAAUACAUGCAAGUCGAGCGAACGGACGAGAAGCUUGCUUCUCUGAUGUUAGCGGCGGACGGGUGAGUAACACGUGGAUAACCUACCUAUAAGACUGGGAUAACUUCGGGAAACCGGAGCUAAUACCGGAUGAUAUUUUGAACCUCAUUGUUCAAAAGUGAAAGACGGUCUUGCUUUCACUUAUAGAUGGAUCCGCGCUGCAUUAGCUAGUUGGUAAGGUAACGGCUUACCAAGGCAACGAUGCAUAGCCGACCUGAGAGGGUGAACGGCCACACUGGAAGUGAGACACGGUACAGACUCCUACGGGAGGAAGCAGUCGGGAAUCUUACGCAAGGGGCGAGAGCCUGACGGAGCAACGCCGCGUGAGUGAUGAAGGUCUUCGGAUCGUAAAACUCUGUUAUUAGGGAAGAACAUAUGUGUAAGUAACUGUGAAGAUCUUGACGGUACCUAAUCAGAAAGCCACGGCUAACUACGUG
rnacentral:rRNA from 1 species